GNAUUUAUUGGGCGUAAAGGGAGCGCAGGCGNUCAGGAAAGUCUGGAGUAAAAGGCUAUGGCUCAACCAUAGUGUGCUCUGGAAACUNUCUGACUUGAGUGCAGAAGGGGAGAGUGGANUUCCAUGUGUAGCGGUGAAAUGCGUAGAUAUAUGGAGGAACACCAGUGGCGAAAGCGGCUCUCUGGUCUGUCACUGACGCUGAGGCUCGAAAGCGUGGGUAGCGAACAGGAUUAGAUACCCUGGUAGUNCACGCCGUAAACGAUGAGUGCUAGGUGUUAGGCCCUUUCCGGGGCUUAGUGCCGGAGCUAACGCAAUAAGCACUCCGCCUGGGGAGUACGACCGCAAGGUUGAAACUCAAAGGAAUUGACGGGGGCCCGCACAAGCGGUGGAGCAUGUGGUUUAAUUCGAAGCAACGCGAAGAACCUUACCAGGUCUUGACAUCCCGAUGCUAUUCUUAGAGAUAGGAAGUUACUUCGGUACAUCGGAGACAGGUGGUGCAUGGUUGUCGUCAGCUCGUGUCGUGAGAUGUUGGGUUAAGUCCCGCAACGAGCGCAACCCUUAUUGUUAGUUGCCAUCAUUAAGUUGGGCACUCUAGCGAGACUGCCGGUAAUAAACCGGAGGAAGGUGGGGAUGACGUCAAAUCAUCAUGCCCCUUAUGACCUGGGCUACACACGUGCUACAAUGGUCGGUACAACGAGUUGCGAGCCGGUGACGGCAAGCUAAUCUCUGAAAGCCGAUCUCAGUUCGGAUUGGAGGCUGCAACUCGCCUCCAUGAAGUCGGAAUCGCUAGUAAUCGCGGAUCAGCACGCCGCGGUGAAUACGUUCCCGGGCCUUGUACACACCGCCCGUCACACCACGAGAGUUUGUAACACCCGAAGUCGGUGAGGUANCCUUUUAGGGGCCAGCC
rnacentral:rRNA from 1 species